GUCGUGCUUUCGCGAAUGUGUACGUAUAGUGAGCAGUAUAUGUGAAGACGGUUGUGCGCGUGUGCGCGUUAAAUUGGUGCAGAUCGGGGUUCUCGCGGCCGAUUACAAGAACACAGACUCGGGUCGCGUGUUUUAUCGGUGUACACGGCUCUUUCUGGCGUUGCUCGUCUAUCUCUGUCGAUGGUCGUUGAAUAGCGAAACGUAUCCGUCUCCGGGGAAAUGUAGACCUUUAGUCUGCACCGGCAGUUGGAUUGCGUCUGUGGAGACGGUACGCCACUAAAAAGAUCAAUACACCAUCGCGGCUCGCCUGUUCAUCGGAAUCUAGAUGCCGCGAGUGCACGUUGCUCCCCGAACGCGAAUGAUAUCGUCUGUCUGAAUAUCGUGCCGCGAAUCGUCUCCCCUGUUUCCAACGUCUUCGAUUUCACAGACUAAAUACAGUUUCGUAUCUCUAAAUAAAUAACAAAUUACGUUUACUAUUUUGCCAUCUUUUUCUCCUUCGACCGAAGAU
rnacentral:misc_RNA from 1 species